rnacentral:rRNA from 1 species
UGCGUAGGCGGUUAGGUAAGUCAGAUGUGAAAUUCCAGGGCUCAACCUUGGAACUGCAUUUGAUACUGCUUGACUAGAGUACUGGAGGGGAGACUGGAAUUCACGGUGUAGCAGUGAAAUGCGUAGAUAUCGUGAGGAAGGCCAGCGGCGAAGGCGAGUCUCUGGACAGUUACUGACGCUGAGCACGAAGGCUAGGGGAGCAAACG